rnacentral:rRNA from 1 species
UUUGAAAGGGAAACGAUUGAAGUCAGUCGUACCUUCGGGUAAUCAGCCUUUCGAGUGCGAUUCUGUGGAGCGUGAGGGGUUAAACGCCUUCAUGCCUGCAUAUUCGUGCACUUUGGGUGUAUUUGCCCGUGUGGUAGGUUAACAUCAAUUUCGGAUGUCAUAAAAUGGCUGGAGGAAUGUAGCUUCGGUCUCGUAUUGAAGUGUUAUAGCCUCUGGUAGAUGUGAUGACCGGGAUUGAGGAUUGCAACGAAUACCUUUUGGGCUAUCCGCCUGAUCUCUGAAAGUUGCUCUGGUACCGAAAGCGUGCUUACGGUUAUCAAAGUUGACGUUC